GCCUCAUCCUAUUCAUCGUGCUUCGUCUUCCACAUAGAGUUCCCGAUAUGCCUCGUCAAUAGCUUAUGCCAACCCCCAAAAUCUCCCUCGGAGUGUUCAAAUCUCUCUUUCAGCGUCGCUCCAAAGCCCUCUCGCGCCUCCUUUCCUCCACUACCACUGCUAACUAUAACACUCAUCUUACACUUUUCGAAACAUUGUACAAAUAAUAUUAGGUAAACACAGAGAGAAACUGUCAAGCCGCCGCUCACCAGAAAAGUCGGUUGAUGUUUCGGAGACUCCGACGCCACAGGAGAUUGAGGAAACCUGUGGUUUUUAUGUGGCUUCUUCGGAGAAGGAGGUGGAUUCGGUUGGUGAACUUAAGAAACUGGUAGAAGAGGGAAAAAUAAAGUAUAUUGGUCUAUCUGAAGCCAGCCCUGACACAAUAAGGAGGGCACAUGCUAUCCAUCCAAUCACAGCUCUACAAAUGGAGUGGUCUCUCUGGACACAUGAUAUUGAGGAAGAGAUAAUCCCACUUUGCAGGGAAAAUGGAAUUGGAAUUGUUCCAUACAACCCUCUUGGUCGUGGUUUUUUUGCUGGCAAAGGAGUUGUGGAAUAGUUUUACCAAUAAGAUACUACAGUUCUCGGUUUUGCUUCUUUUAGAAUCUUGCUUAACCGUGGCUGUUUAUUGUCUUAGAACUUACUGUUUUUUAUUCCGCUUUACCAUAAGAUACUACCACAACUAUUUUUAAUGAUGAAAAAUGGAUAGAGUGAUGAAUUUCAUCUAAUCUUUUUGUGUACUUGUUAUGGCAUGACUGUCGAGAGAUGUCCGGAUAAUCCGAUGCUUAGUUGUCGUGAGAUUUUAGAUGGAAAGGUGGUGGAGGUCGACUCGAUUAUGGAGUUCAUGUUGUAUCUGUUGAGCUCAUCUUCUCGGUCUGAUGAAGUUUUGGGGUCCGAACUAGAGUCCCCCAUGUCAGUCAUCUCCACUACCUCCCCGAUGCCGUUUUAUUCAAAACAGCUAUAGAUAUUUUGGAAGGAGAAGACAAGAUUUAUUGGCGCCCUUCUAAGAAGGGAGUUUUCACAGCACGUUCAUUCUACCAUUCCUUGACCAUGCACACCUCAGCCCGUUCCUUUCCAUGGAAGAGCAUAUGGAGGACAAAGGCACCUCUAAAGGCAGCCUUUUUUGUUUGGACAGCUUCUUUGGGGAAGAUUCUUACUAUAGACAACCUGAGGAAAUGUGGAAUCAUAGUUAUGGACUGGUGUUAUAUGUGCAAGAAGAGGGGCGAGUCCACUAACCAUCUCUUACUACAUUGUGAGAUUGUCAGGAUCUUGUGGAACGAAGUUUUUGCUCGAUUGGGUUUAGCUUGGGUGAUGCCGGAAAGGGUAUGUGACUUUCUAGCCUCGUGGAGAGGUAUUCGGGGCAACCCUCAAAUUGCAUCCAUAUGGAAAAUGAUACCUAUAUGUCUAUGGUGGUGCAUUUGGAGGGAGAGGAAUGCAAGAAGUUUUGAAGAUCAAGAGCGAUCGAUGGAAGAGCUUAGAAAUCUGUUUUUCAAUACCUUACUUCAUUGGUCGAUUGUAAUUGAUUUUAAUGGCAUGUCUUUUCAUGAAUUCCUUGUAUCUCUAAACUAGCAGGCACAGGCGUUGCUCUUGUAUAUGUCCCGUAUACUUGAGCUUUUUGCCUCCUUUUGAUCAAUAAAAUUUUGUUUACCGAUAAAAAAAAAAAAGAUAUUUUGGAAUGCAAUGAUCUAUUUGGCUUGCGAUGUU